AAUAAGAACAGAUACAUCUCCAAGGACAGACAAAUUUGACCAAUCAUGUGGAAUGGAUAUUACAAUUAUAAUCAUAGACAGCCUGGAUAUCCAAUCUUGAGGAAUUUGUUUGGAUAUGGGAUAGUUACACCUUGGUAUUAUCGGCCUCCUAGCUACCGUAGAAGCUA